GACGAAUUGUCAGUCGCGGUCCAACAUACGGCACGCAACGCAAAGAGCGCGAGAAAAAUUCAAAAUGCGUUGCUUAUCACUGCCACAAUUAUUUUAUAAUUAGUUUAUAAUAAUCGAUUUUAUACACGAAAACGAAAGCUUCUCGGCAGCUAUUUGAAUUUAUGAGUAGUCGUCCUUAUUAUUUAUGUGCGCUUACCUAAUUUUCACUUUCGUUCGUAGCUAAAUUAAUUCAAAAUGUGUAGGUGCGGAGUGCUAAUUUCUAGUGUUUUUGUGAUAGUGUCAAAUGUAUUAUUAGUGACUAGUUUUAACAUCGAUACCUUCAAUUAUGUACAACACAAGGGACAAAAUCGGUCCAUGUUUGGGUUUAGUGUUGCGACUCAUAAAGAACAGGGAAGAAGUUGGUAAGUUGCGCUCGUCCGCAUUUAAAUUGUAAUUGUUACGAAAACGCUAUUCAGCAAAAGAUGUUUCUGCAUUUACCUACCUAUACACUUUCAGUUGUCUUCAGACAUAAAUUUAGUUUGCACACGUGCGUUUGAGCGGUGGAAACAGUACGAACGAAAAUAUCCCGUGAAAUAUAGGUUUUUACUUGCUUUUAACGUCAGCUCGUGUGUAAAAAUAAACCCAAAUAAAAAGUAGCACUUUUUUGAUAACUUACACGAAAAAAGUUGUCGGACAACAUCUUUCCCUUUCGUUUCGGGCGGGCGCCUUUGCUUUGCGAGGAUGCAACACCAGUGCCAUUCGCUAAAUAUAAUUCGGAACGGGUGCGACCGAUUCUUGCAAGAUUAAAAGGAUUGGCUAUUCAUCUCUAAAUUGCGAUUAAUGAUGUAACCUACAUUUGCAGCGCUCUAUCCGUCAAAUUCUAUUAACGCGAAUUCUAUCCUUGAGCUGUAAUUGCACACGUAUAAUUAGUACUUUACCCAUGAAUGAAAGUUCCACCCACGUAGGCACUUCCUAAACGGAUCAUUCCUGGCGUAGUUUUUUUUUUAGUAAACCGGUUCCUACUUUUCACAACACGGAAGUCAGAUUGACAAAAAUUUGUUAAUCGGUAAAGGAAACGGAACUGCAUGAGAUGGGCAACCUUUGAUCGCAUGGAUUUACUUUUCCAGCUUCUCACGUUUGUCAUUUUUUGCGUAUCAAAAAAUUCACGCAUAUCCUCAAACCUAAAAACCUCCGCUACGCUCAUCUAAACUGUACAAGCACAAAGGUCCAUCCUCGCCUUUACUUAUCCAUUCAAUUAUAAUUCCGUAAUAACCAUCAGAGUCGUUUUAUCCAAAUUAAAAUCUUUCUGGUUGAUAUUCGUAAACCUUUUUUUUAAACCCGUAUUGUCUUUACACAGCAAUUUUGUAGGGAGUUGAUUUUCCAUUGAACGCACCAACGUAUAUUUGUGGGCCAGCUCUCACAAAAGGCGUGAUUGAUGGUCGAAAUGAAUAAAUAAAUUAUAUAGUUCAACGACUGCAAUAAAAACCUUGGAAAAAUGUGAUAAUUUUUAACUAAUUGAAGAUAAUGACCGUUUACUGUUUUCUAACACGCAAAUCAUCAAGCGCUUUCG